UGCGUAGGCGGAUUGAUAAGUCAGAAGUGAAAGCUCACGGCUAAACUGUGGAAUUGCUUUUGAAACUGUCGAUCUUGAAUGGGGCUGAGGUUAGCGGAAUGAGUCAUGUAGCGGUGAAAUGCAUAGAUAUGACUUAGAACACCAAUUGCGAAGGCAGCUAACUAGACCUCUACUGACGCUGAGGCACGAAAGCGUGGGUAGCGAACAGGAUUAGAUACCCUGGUAGUCC
rnacentral:rRNA from 1 species